rnacentral:tRNA from 1 species
GCCCAUGUAGCUCAGUAGGUAGAGCACCGCCUUGGUAAGGCGGAGGUUCGCCGGUUCAAGCCCGGUCGUGGGCUCCA